UACGGAGGGUGCAAGCGUUAAUCGGAAUUACUGGGCGUAAAGCGCACGCAGGUGGCUGAGUCAGUCGAUUGUGAAAGCCCUGGGCUUAACCUGGGAAUUGCAGUCGAUACUACUCAGCUAGAGUAUGGGAGAGGGCAGUGGAAUUCCCGGUGUAGCGGUGAAAUGCGUAGAUAUCGGGAGGAACAUCAGUGGCGAAGGCGGCUGCCUGGCCCAAUACUGGCACUCAGGUGCGACAGCGUGGGGAGCAAACAGG
rnacentral:rRNA from 1 species